ACACUCCUGCGGGAGGCAGCAGUGGGGAAUAUUGCACAAUGGGCGCAAGCCUGAUGCAGCCAUGCCGCGUGUGUGAAGAAGGCCUUCGGGUUGUAAAGCACUUUCAGCGGGGAGGAAGGCGAUACGGUUAAUAACCGUGUUGAUUGACGUUACCCGCAGAAGAAGCACCGGCUAACUCCGUGCCAGCAGCCGCGGUAAUACGGAGGGUGCAAGCGUUAAUCGGAAUUACUGGGCGUAAAGCGCACGCAGGCGGUCUGUCAAGUCGGAUGUGAAAUCCCCGGGCUCAACCUGGGAACUGCAUUCGAAACUGGCAGGCUUGAGUCUUGUAGAGGGGGGUAGAAUUCCAGGUGUAGCGGUGAAAUGCGUAGAGAUCUGGAGGAAUACCGGUGGCGAAGGCGGCCCCCUGGACAAAGACUGACGCUCAGGUGCGAAAGCGUGGGGAGCAAACAGGAUUAGAUACCCCAGUAGUCCCA
rnacentral:rRNA from 1 species